UCUGGCUCAGGACGAACGCUGGCGGCGUGCCUAAUACAUGCAAGUCGAGCGGACAGAAGGGAGCUUGCUCCCGGAUGUUAGCGGCGGACGGGUGAGUAACACGUGGGUAACCUGCCUGUAAGACUGGGAUAACUCCGGGAAACCGGAGCUAAUACCGGAUAGUUCCUUGAACCGCAUGGUUCAAGGAUGAAAGACGGUUUCGGCUGUCACUUACAGAUGGACCCGCGGCGCAUUAGCUAGUUGGUGAGGUAACGGCUCACCAAGGCGACGAUGCGUAGCCGACCUGAGAGGGUGAUCGGCCACACUGGGACUGAGACACGGCCCAGACUCCUACGGGAGGCAGCAGUAGGGAAUCUUCCGCAAUGGACGAAAGUCUGACGGAGCAACGCCGCGUGAGUGAUGAAGGUUUUCGGAUCGUAAAGCUCUGUUGUUAGGGAAGAACAAGUGCAAGA
rnacentral:rRNA from 1 species